rnacentral:rRNA from 1 species
GACGAACGCUGGCGGCGUGCCUAAUACAUGCAAGUAGAACGCUGAAGGAGGAGCUUGCUUCUCUGGAUGAGUUGCGAACGGGUGAGUAACGCGUAGGUAACCUGCCUGGUGGCGGGGGAUAACUAUUGGAAACGAUAGCUAAUACCGCAUAAGAGUAGAUGUUGCAUGACAUUUGCUUAAAAGGUGCAAUUGCAUCACUACCAGAUGGACCUGCGUUGUAUUAGCUAGUUGGUGGGGUAACGGCUCACCAAGGCGACGAUACAUAGCCGACCUGAGAGGGUGAUCGGCCACACUGGGACUGAGACACGGCCCAGACUCCUACGGGAGGCAGCAGUAGGGAAUCUUCGGCAAUGGACGGAAGUCUGACCGAGCAACGCCGCGUGAGUGAAGAAGGGUUUCGGAUCGUAAAGCUCUGUUGUAAGAGAAGAACGAGUGUGAGAGUGGAAAGUUCACACUGUGACGGUAUCUUACCAGAAAGGGACGGCUAACUACGUG